rnacentral:rRNA from 1 species
AUUGAACGCUGGCGGCAGGCUUAACACAUGCAAGUCGAGCGGGGGGAGGUAGCUUGCUACCUAACCUAGCGGCGGACGGGUGAGUAAUGCUUAGGAAUCUGCCUAUUAGUGGGGGACAACAUUUCGAAAGGGAUGCUAAUACCGCAUACGCCCUAAGGGGGAAAGCAGGGGAUCUUCGGACCUUGCGCUACUAGAUGAGCCUAAGUCGGAUUAGCUAGUUGGUGGGGUAAAGGCCUACCAAGGCGACGAUCUGUAGCGGGUCUGAGAGGAUGAUCCGCCACACUGGGACUGAGACACGGCCCAGACUCCUACGGGAGGCAGCAGUGGGGAAUAUUGGACAAUGGGGGGAACCCCGAUCCAGCCAUGCCGCGUGUGUGAAGAAGGCCUUUUGGUUGUAAAGCACUUUAAGCGAGGAGGAGGCUACCGAGAUUAAUACUCUUGGAUAGUGGACGUUACUCGCAGAAUAAGCACCGGCUAACUCUGUGCCAGCCGCCGCCUAAGAC